GCUGCAUGGUGCCCAGCUGGACCAGGAGCUCCAGACACAGGUAGGCUGGCAGCUGUGAUUGGUGCAGAGGAGCUGUCCAUCAGUGCAGCUACAGUUGUUACAGUCCACCUGAUGCCAGCUGCCGGCCGCCCAGACCUGCCCCAGGUUUGACCUGGUUCUUCUCUCCUUCACACUUCUUCCCACCAUUCUUCGAUGGAGGGCUGGAGCAGGAGCGAGUGCGUAUGGAGCGUCCACCACCACAGCGCUUAUCACAGCGAGACCAGGGACUCCAGUGGGACCAGCCUCCAUCCACUGCACCAUCCAGACACACACACAACCAGAACUCAGAAUAGUGAAUCCCCAGACACUAGCUACAGUUUAAAAAAAGAUGGAAUCAACCAGUAUACAGAAAAUAAAAAGACAAUAGACUUUAAAAACAGCUACAGUCAAUCUAGUGAUAUCAGAGGUUGGAUGUAAAAAAAACCUGAUAACAAAUAGUAAUAACAAAUAGCUGAGGUUAAAGUGCAUAUGCAUAGAGAUGUUUUACGUUGUUUCUCCAACCUUCAUUCCUCUCCUCUCACAACAAUAGAACACCAUGUUUGAGUAAAAACCAAAGCUGGAAAACUCCUAUAUAGGCAACAAAUGUGCUCAAGGGCCGGAUGUUACAGAAGCGAUGCUCCAGGUUCCCUCCAAGGAUGUCCUCACACCAUGAGCCGUUAGUGCCGGGAAUGAGGAAGGUUCUGAUCCUCUGCUGCUGCCCCACUCCACAGGACCGCGAACAGGAGCC